rnacentral:misc_RNA from 1 species
AGUGGCAUCUCUCCAGACGCUCCACCGGACUUGUAGCCCACACGUCAGCGAAACACCGUCGAGUGCGUCCACUCAGUCCGUCCUAAACGGGACACCACUUGCUGCUGUCCCGCUACGAGGAAGAAGGAAGGCAGGAAGGGAGGGAAAACACGCACAGCACAUUCAAAACACACACACACACAUAUAAAAGGAGGAGCAGCGACCAGGCGGCUCUCGUUGAUAGUUGUAGGGACCGCCAUUCCAUCGGCGGAGUAGUAGCGGUAGUACUAGCAGUCGUCGUAGUCGUAGUCUCCUUUUCUCUAUCGCGUGUGUAUGAGCGUGUCGCAGCGUCGCCUGCACGGAGAGCGAAGCGCGCAUUUUGCCACUGCUUCAUAGCUGCUGCAGCUGCGGUGCCACCACCGCGAAUGGACAGGAUGCGUCAGGGAUGGCUCCGCUCAUCCGCAGCGCUCUUGGUCCGCGUGCACGGCCACCUCAAGGAUCAGGACCGCAUUUUCACAAACCUGUACAAUGACUUCGGCACCGGCAUCGACGCGGCGGAGCGCCGUGGUGACUGGUACCGCACCAAGGACAUCCUCCUCAAAGGCCAUGACUGGGUGAUUAACGAGAUCAAGGCGAGCGGCCUUCGUGGCCGUGGCGGUGCCGGCUUCCCGUCCGGGCUAAAGUGGUCCUUCAUGCCCAAGAAGAAGCAGGAUGACCGCCCAAGCUACAUCGUGGUGAACUGCGAUGAGUCGGAGCCUGGCACGUGCAAGGACCGUGAGAUCAUGCGCCACGAGCCGCACAAGGUGGUGGAGGGUGCACUGUUGGCUGGCUUUGCGAUGCGAGCUCGCUACGGCUACAUCUACAUCCGCGGUGAGUUCUACAACGAGUGGCGCUCGGUCGAGAAGGCGAUUCACGAGGCGUACGAGAAGGGCUACCUCGGCAAGAACGCGUGCGGCAGCGGCUGGAAUUUUGACCUCUACACCUACCGCGGCGCCGGCGCGUACAUCUGCGGUGAGGAGACGGCGAUGAUCGCCAGCAUAGAGGGCGGCCAGGGCAAGCCUCGCCUGAAGCCGCCGUUCCCGGCGAACGUCGGCCUCUACGGGUGCCCGACGACGGUGACGAACUGCGAAACGGUGGCGGUGUCGCCGACCAUAAUCCGCCGUGGCCCGCAGUGGUUCGCGCAGUUCGGCCGUAAGGGCAACGCCGGCACGAAGCUCUUUUGCAUCUCCGGCCACGUGAACCGCCCGUGCACCGUGGAGGAGGAGAUGAGCAUGCCUCUGCGCGAGCUGAUCGAGCGACACGCCGGCGGCGUGCGGGGCGGCUGGGACAACCUACUCUGCGUCAUCCCCGGCGGCUCCUCGUGCCCGCUUAUCCCAAAGCACAUCUGCGACAACAUCCUGAUGGACUACGAUGCGCUCAAGGAGGCGCAGACUGGCCUUGGCACGGCGGCGGUGAUCGUCAUGGACAAGUCCACCGACGUGAUCAACGCGAUUGAGCGCCUGUCGCAGUUCUACAUGCACGAGUCGUGCGGCCAGUGCACGCCGUGCCGCGAGGGCAGCCCAUGGCUGGACAAGAUGAUGAAGCGCUUCGUCAACGGCAACGCCAAGAAGGAGGAAAUCUACACCCUGUGGGACGUGUCCAAGCAGAUGGAGGGCCGCUCCAUCUGCGCGCUCGGGACGGCGGCGGCGUGGCCGGUGCAGGGACUCAUCCGCCACUUCAAGCCCCUCAUGGAGGAGCGCAUCGAACGCUUCUGGGAGGCGAACCCGCACUGGGGACAGCCUGGCUCUCCGUGGCGCCGCUGGAAGACCCAUCGCUACUACACAAUGCAGAAGGGUGAUCGUCUCAACUGGGACGGCAAGAUUGUGCGCAACUGGAACUAGUGUGUGUGUGUGCGUGUGAAUGUGUGUGUCUUCCCCCUACCCCUCCCUUAGCGCAUCUCUCUUCUCUCCCUGAGGUCCCGCCCCCUCCCCUCCCCUCCUCUUCUCAGUGCUUGUAGUCUUCUCUUUUUCCACUGUGCUCCGCAGACUGCCCUGUGUGCCCUUUUCUAUCCGCGGUUCGUCGUCGCUGUCGUCCGUCUUGCCUUCCCCCAUCUCCUCUCUUCCACCUGUCUUAUCAUACCAAGACGAAAGAACUGCAACCGGGAGAACCGUCGCAGGCGGGAGGCCCCCCUCCCCCCUUGACACACACACACGCACAUGCACAUGCAGACACAGAGAGAUUGGUGUGAUGGUUCUCCUCUCUACCCUGCGUGUGCCUUUUUCUGUUGUGUGUUUGUGUACGCCUGUUGCGAUGUGCGACUGGCAACGGUGGUGAAGGGCCGUGUUUGUGCGCCUUUACUCUUCCACUGGUCAAGCCCGUGAACCAUGUCGCUGUCAGUAGCAGUGGUCGUUGAGGAGGGGGCAAAGAGGGACUGCAUGCUCGGUGGUGCGCGCAAACUCGCAUCCUGCAGAGAGCCCGCGCACCCUCCCCGUCUGCCUCCAUCAAACAUGCACACUGCUCCCGUCAUGCCAUGGCUCUACCGUUUCUGUAAUUCGUCCUCCGACCCCCACAACCCGCACCCCCACCCCCACCCUUCCUCACCGGUGGAAUCGAUGUCUGUUAGUGCCCGCGCGCCCCCCACUGCGCACGCCCAAAUCGGCAGCGCAUCCCCCUCCCCCUUUCCUUCCCCCACUCUCGCCCAG